AGACUUUUACUGCACAACCAACUGAAAUGGUCAUUAAGCAUUUUUAAUGGUGUGAGAAAGUGCUUACAAUAAAGUGCUGGGAAUGAGAGCAGAAAUGAAAACACAGUUCAAAAUGGUGACUUGCCCGGGCCUCUAAAACUGGGAAAAAUCCCAGCGGGAGGAUGCCACAGAAGCGUAAAGCAUGUGCCUGCUAGGGUAGAAGGGUCCUGCAACUCUAAUCUAAAACAGGCAAGCAAAGACUUAUGUGCAAGUUUGGAUCGACCGUUGCUUCCCAAACAACCGGAAACACUGGGUAUAAACAAUUUCAAAUCCUGAAAUCAUGUCGAAGUUGCAGUGCUGAAGAGUUGCCAGGUCAAUGUGAGGGUGGUACCCUGGGGGGUUAAAGCUCCUGGCUGCAGUCUAGUUGUGAUGCUGAACUUGAUCUUUGAGGCACUUGCUUGGUGAUAGAGGGUGAAUUCAAGAAGAGGAUGUUCUCCAGAAAAAAGCAACAUUCCUAAGUCUCAAGUCUCAGGUAAAGAAGCUUGGAAAGAAUGAUGUUAAGAAACAGAAGCACCAUGACUUGAACCCAGUCAACUGUGAAGAACAAAUAUCAGGGACAGAUAAUCACAGAAAGACUCCUCAAUUAGACUGAGAAAAGCUCCAGCCCCAUUUUACUGCACUUACAGAUCUGCUAUUGGACAAUAAUACCGUUCAGUGCGAAAAAGAAGUUCCAUUUGGCUCAGAUGCUGCUGUUUCUUUUUCCUCGUGUGUGUGUGUGUGUGUGUGUGUGUGUGUGUGUGUGUGUGUGUUUCCCCAUUUUAUAUUGUGAGUAGCCUUAUAGAGAAGUCUACACAGAAAAGAAAUUAAAGUCUUUAAACAAUUUUCAAGGAGGAAUGAUGACCUAUCAGCCAAGUGCAUGAGUGGGCUUUGAAAUAGAUUGAUCAGGACGUAUGUAGAGAUGGCUACAACCUUGACAAACAGCUUAUCUAUAACCUUGAGAGGGACCUGGAAGCAAAAUUCCCUAGAUAAAUUUCUAUGAGUUAUGUUUUUUUUAGAAAGUAAUACAUUUAUUUUCAUUUAUGUGUGUAUGUGUCUUUGUGAAUGUAUGUCACGUAUGUCCAGGUUCCCAUGGAAACUAGGAAAGGGCACUGGAUCCUACAAAGUUAGAUUUACAGUCAGAUGUGAGCCAUCCAGUAUAGGUACUGAGAAUGGAAGACUGCUCCUCUGUAAAGGUAGGAUGGGCUCUUAGAUGCAAAGAAGGAAGAAACAGACAAGGGAGGAGGUGAAGGAGAGAGAAAGGGUCUGGGGAGAGGCAUAUACAGAGAGUAUGAUUCACUAAAAAUGGAAGUCACCAUCUUUUAUUAAAUAAUUUUGAAGUAAUCUGUCAUUCGUUGCUUCUUAUACAGACGGACCAUAUCACUGUGUUUGUAUACACCAGAGAAUACAGUUAUUACAAGGAUUUUUUCUUCUCCGUAGCAUUAUUGAACAUUUAAUGGUUUUCCAUUAAUUGUUUUGCUAUCAAAUCCAAAAUUUAGGAAGCUCUUACACAAAAUUUCUGACACACACUUUUUAGUCAUUUGCCUGAUUUAUAUUUGUGAUCUUUCAGUAUAUCACCACUCCUUUGUGACAUUUUCAUAUGUCCUCUUAUCUGAACACAUAUAAGGAAGUGAGUGGUUAAGCAGCAUUCUUGUAGUUCUCUUUGUCAAAGGGAUUGUUCUGGUUAAAGGGAAGACAAAUAAUUGGGUCAAAUUCCAUUGCAGGUGUGUUAAUGGACAACCCCUGAAAUCAGAAGUCUGCCUGGUUAGGAGUAUUCAUGGUAAGGAAGUCUGGUGUAGGGGGCACAUGAGCUUUGAAACUUUCUGACUCUGUGAAAUAAAUAUUUCUUGCCAACUGCACAAGUAGGUACUCAAAUUUAAUAUUCAGUUUGAUUAAGUAUUUUUCCCCUCCAGAGGCACUUCAUAAGUGAGUGGGUUUGUAUGUCAGAUUGUACAAGAGAUAUGUUUAUUCCUCCAUUGGUCACAUCAACUGUCAUUGACAAUUAGAAUGGCUAAUUCCUUGGACUUAGACAGUGGUAGAAUUUGCUUAUUCUUGAACUUACUAUCUGAAGUUCUUUUAUAAAUAGAAAAUUGUCUUUCUUUUCUGUUUGGUGACAAGUUAGUAUAGAUCUUAUAAAAAGCCAGGGAUAGCUGUUUUAACUUCCAUUUAUUGACUAUGUUUCAAAUCUCUCAUAGCUGAUCAAUUUUUGUUAUUAUUGCUAUCAUAAUAUAUAAUAUAUAAUAUUUAAAUAAUUUAAAAACUUUUAAUUCAUUGGAGUUAUUACUCUUAUUGAUGUUGGAAUUGUACCAUAUGUGGUAACCUCAUUAUACUCUUGAUCCCUUUAGGAACGAAGUAAUACUUUUCAACAUUUUCAUUCUCACAUUUGUCAAGACUCAUCUUGCUCACUUCUGCUGCAGACUGGAACUCUGCUAUUUAUUGCAUACUCCUGGUUUCCCAUGGAUGAAAAUGUUGUUUAGAUGUUUAUUUUAUUUUUAAUUAUAUGCAUUUGUGUAUGUGGGCCUACAUGUGGCUAUGUACACAUGCAUGUAGGUGCCUGAAGUGACCUGAUGAGGUGAUCAGAUUCCUCUGUAGCUGUAGUUAGAGUUAUAGUAACUGUGAGCUACUUCAAAUGAGUAGUAGGAACUAAACUCAGGUCCUCUGCAAGAGCAGUGUACACUCUCCCCAUCCUUCCAGCCCUGAGGACGCUGUUGAGAAGUCACAUUCUGAAUGCUGAAGCGCUGGAGGGUUUUCCCACAGCACUGUCUAUAAACUCAAUGUUCAAACUUUUGCGUAAGCUUUGAAACACGUUUAAUAAGUAACGCCUAACUGUGACUUGAGGAUUUUCUUUCACAAGCUUAGGGAUUGCUUCACACAUAUACGUGUAGUAGGCACUCAGAAAAUGGCAUUGACACCUCCCAUGGGCCCACAAGGUUGCUAAAAGCUGAAAAACAAAACAAAACAAAACUCUAGCAUCUUUGGCUUCGGUUUGUGUGUGUGUCUCCUUCACUUUGGAUUGCACUCUUGGUUAACUCAGCAAAGGCAAAAUAGUCACUGAAUUAGUAUGUAUCAUCGGACCACUUACUAGUGUCUACCUAACUCAUAUCACACCCCUUUAAGGAUAAAGGCAAAAGGACCUCAUUGUCUAAAAUCUGAAGUCACCUUUGAUUUGAUUCCAGGAACAAUCAAGCCUUGUAGUACAGGAUCCCUACCCAGUCCUGUUGAAGACAGGUAUCUGUGAUGCAACACAGACCUCAUCUUGGAGGAAGUAGAUUUGCCCUUUCGGGCGGUGACUUCUCUGACAACUUCUUACUGCAUCCUGCAGAGCCAGAGCUCAGCCAAUAAUUGGUGGGACCACAUCUUGACCAUGACUGCUUAGUUAUACUAAUCUCCUAUCUCUUUCACCACAAUUUUUCUUUCAGUGUGUGUGUGUGUGUGUGUGUGUGUGUGUGUGUGUGUGUGUGUUCAUGUGUAUAGGAGGAUGCAUGUUCCUAUAAGCAUACACAGGGGCAAUAGGAGAACAUAAUAUGUCCUGAUCUAUCACCUAUUCUCUUCAGCCACAGUGUUUUACUGAACUUGCAGCUAGACUGGCAACCGGCAUGCUUCAACCAUCUCCUAUCUCUACUCCUCACAGUACUGGGAUGAUAGCCACAGGGGCAUGACUUACUGUUUAUGUAGGUGCUAGGGAUUUGAACUCAUUUCCUUAUGCCUGUGCACCGAAUGCUUCUUAUCUAGAGAGCCAUCUCCAUAGCUUCCAAUAACCAUCUCUUAAUUGGCAAUUUGGGAUAGGCAGCUAAGCCUAGCUUGUUGGAACGGGUAGAGCUGGGAUUUGUGCUGUAAAACGGUGGUUACAUAAGGGCUAUUACCUUUUCCUGUUCAACAUUGUUCUUAAAAUAACAUUGCUUCUCCCUGGUUUCAGAAGCUUUUUUUGACAGUGCUCAAAGAAUGAUCUAGGGAUCUCUGGGGCUCCUCAAGACUAUUUCAGGGAGUGUGGAGAGUGUAAAACAUUUUCUGUGGUGAUAGCAUAGUCUUUGCCUCUUUGCUGUCAUUAUCUCAUGAACGCCCAGUGGAAUUUUCCACAGGCUGCAGGAGGUGUGAGAUCGAUGCAGAUCCAGUGCAGCAACAGCUGUCUUUUUAUUAACACAGACAUUAAAAAAAAAACCAUCACAAAUAUAAAGCAAUACAAAUCUUCCCAUUAACACUUUUGUUUCAAUUCUUUGUGUAAUUAAAUUUCCCAGUCUUUUGUUAAGUCCCAUUGAAGAACAUUAGAAUUCUUGCCCAUAACACUAGAUACAAAAGGAUAAAGAAAGGAAAAAAAAAACAACUGAAUUAGUGUCAUACAUCCAGCUAACCCAUGAGGGCAUACAAGAAAAUAUAUUUCAGGACUUGCGGAAACAGAAGAAUGUUAAUAUGAAAGAUCCUACUGAAGCUGCUUCUACGUGGAUAAAAGAGUGAAGGGGAAGGAAGUUCGUACUUCACCAUCACUACCCUGGGCAACUUGAAGUUACAGAGCAUAGCCUAGAGUUCAGGGAAGCUGUAGUAUAUCCAAUAAUUGGGGAGAGGACCAUGGUGAGAACUGUCACCUCUAGCCAAUAGCAAUGUUGAUGCAUUAUCUUGAAGUGGAGCCUUUAGCUUCAAUCAACUCUAAAGGUGACUGGGAUGACAGGAUGACAUUUUGACUAUGACCUCCAAAGACCCCACGCAUGAACAAGCUGCUUCUGAAUUUCUGUUCUUCAGAAACUGUGAAGAAAUAGGUGUUAAGACUGCAGAAUCUUUGGAUAAUUUGUUAUGAGGCCAAUUGAAAUGCGAACUCAAAGGAUACUAUACUAUGAUGUAUGUAAAAGAAAGGAGAAGCAGAACAUUGAAUGCAAGAUACAGUUAAAGAUGACUAUCAUGCAGCUUUCCUGAAGUCCUCGAGAAUGUGUUGUCAGAAGAAAUUGGUGGAAGGCAGGUUUUUUUUUUCUUUUUUUUCUUUUUUUUGAUUUUGAGACAGGGAAUACUGAAGGCGGCAAGGUUUAAAGCAGCAGUGAAUGAGAUGGAGAAGUCGAGGAUUGAAGAAAUGAAAGGGACAGGGAGAUGGAUGGAAAACAAAAGGAGAGUUACAGCUUUGUACACAUUUGAAGAAAAGAAAAGAUACAAGAAGAGACAGCCUGCCCGGACAGAUAAUUCUAUUCCUAGGAGUAGUGGGUCACUAAACAAGUCCCCAGUGCUAGACUCUUGUGUACAGAGAAUACCUUGUGUAUUGUACAGAUGUACAUCACCUGUCAAUGAAAGUGUCUAGUGACCCUCCACACUCCAAGUCUAUCAUGAAGUUCUGACAUGGAGCUUAGAUUUAAAUAGCAGGUGAGAAGAAUGCUCAACUAAAUAGAUAUGGCCAAGGUGUGACCCUUGUGGCCAAGGCGUAGCCCCAGUCAUUGAGUCAUCAUUGUCUAGGUUCCAAUUUCUCGUGAGGACAUCUGCAACAAUUUUAUAACUUUAGCUUUGUCCUUUGCCUAGCAUAAUUUCAGGGGAAAUUGUUAUUUCUUUUUUUUAAAUUAUUUAUUCUUUUCUUUUAAACAAUCUAGACUUUAUCCCCUCUUGGUCCACCUUCCAUGGAAAUUUUUAUUUCUUUGUGACCAUUUUUCAUAUGUUUGAUGACAAUAGAAAAGCACACACAUUAAAGUAUCUCUCUUUUUUAAAAGUUAUUUAUUGUAUAUAAGUACACUGUAACUGUCUUCAGACACACCAGAAAAGGGCAUUGGAUCUCAUUACAGAAGGUUGUGAGCCACCAUGUGGUUGCCGGGAAUUGAACUCAGGACCUCUGGAAGAGCAGUCAGUGCUCUUAACCGCAGAGCCAUCUCUCCAGCCCCAAGUAUCUCUCUUAAAGUAUCUUUCCUCUUGCCUAAAUAGUGACAACAGAUUCUGAAAAAGUGAUUUCUUACUCUUACUCAGGAUAGAAUGUGCCAGGAGGAGGUGAUCGCUACAGAACUUCACAGAAAGGACAUGGCAGAAACAAACAUCAAUUCUGAAGCCAAAUACUGAGUGGUGUAGCUGUUAAGAAAUGCUGCACACCUCAGUUAUAAGUCUGUUGUCUCUUACUAGCUCUUUCCUGGUGACAUUGCAGACAGAUAAAGCCAGCAGAAACCUGCAAUCCACUCACCUGCCAGAAUGCUAGUGUUAUCAACACAAUGAAGCUAUCUGUCCUUAGAACCCAGGCAGAGAUCCACCACUUUUCUAUACCUGGGGGUUGGGGAGCAGUUUCUCAUGUCUUGAGAGAGCAAUGGGAAACCCAGAAUUUUUGAGACAGGAACACCUAAGAGGUCCAGGUGCUCAAGGUCAGAUGAAGGCUGAGGCAACACCUGGAAUACAUCUUUGAAAACACAAGGAACUAAGCGUCUGUCAGCCACCAGCCCAGACUGUUAGUUAGGGACCAUAUAGUGUGUGUGGUGCAGGCAGACAGGAACUGCCAUAGAAUUGGAAUAGUGAGAAAAGUCUCCCUAGUCCUCACGAUGCACUGGACAGCAACAGCUCACUGCUGGACCGGUUCAUACCUGCAGAGCCUUGCCGGUAACCUAGCAACCAAAAACAUUCAAUUCUGCUCUGGCAGUCGCCAGACCUGGUUCAAGCCCUAUAUCCCAUCCUCAUAGGCAGGCCAACAGAAGUGACUCAAAUGAAAUCCUCGUUAAGGAAUAGUAAAGAAAAAGGACACGGGGCCAUCUCCAGAGUGCUGGUUUGGAAUCAAAGAAUUUAAGAUCAUUAUUUGAAACUGUAUCCCUUGCCUUUGUGAUAAAUAUGUUUGUUGUGGGAUUAUUCCCUGAUUUCUUAGAGUUGUUAAUAUAUGAAGGAGUGGUGUGAGAUAGCUUUUCUGUGCCUAGAGCUUUUAAAAAAUGGGUAGAGAAACUUGGAAGUUUCCCAAGGAAACAGAGCUCAGAAGAAUGAGUUGCCUACCGGAAGAGCUUGGAAAGUUUUACUGCUUAAGGAAAGAUCGAUUUUCUACCAAAGAAGUCUUCACUUACAGCACCCUUGCCUGGGGUUUUUAUGAUGCAGACAAACUUAUCCCAUACAGAGGAUAUAGCCAUAGUUCUUUGUAUAGUCAUUUCCCUUUAUUAGGCUGCCCCCCGACUAUUGCAACCACUUCUGGCUUUGUUUCCCUUAAAAGUUUGACAGGAGAUCAAACUCAGUUUAUGAGGGAUUAAGACCAAGGUGAGGGGAGGCUGUGGAUAUUUUAUAUUAAAGAGAGACAGGAAAAAUAAUCCUCUAAUGUAUUGUGUUUGGGUAAAACACGAGGCUGUUCAACUUUUUUAUCUCGGUGACUUAUCAUUUUCUAUGGGUCAAUGACUGCUUGCAGAAAAGAGCAAAUCCAUAUUCCCCAAUGGAAAAGUUCUGAUCUGAAUAUGAGAAUGACACUGGUGUGCGCUGAGUUUUGGGUCUCCAGUUUACAGUUGGUAUUUCCACGUGAAGACGGAGCAGCUACCAAUUCAAACCACAGCUCCUGAUACAGCCCAACGGCAUAAUGAAGAUGCGGUGGUGACGCCCGGUACUCCUCACUGCCCAGCCUUGCCACCCAUUCUUCCUGUUAAGUUUCAUUCUAGAUAUUCUGAUGAGGAUUUCAUGAUGUGGGAGCAUAAGAGGAAGUCACCUGGCUUCUGUAACAGGCAGCCAGAGGACUGUGGGAAAUCAGGGCAGACGUUUCCUGUCUUCUGAGAAUAUGAUUUUAUCUGGAGAAAAUCCAACCUCAUCAUCGCUAUGGGAGGUGUGAUAUUCUGAUUAGGUUUAGCACGAGGGGAAAAAAAGCUGACAGUUAGACCUUGAGCAUAAUGUAGUAACAAUGAGACUCGCAUUAAAGAGAUAUGGAGUUUCUUGUAUUUAAAUGGGGGAAAUGCAUUAUCUCAUUAAAUUUCGCCAAUGUGGGAUUCAUGCUUUUUUUUUUUUUAUGUAAGCUGUGUGUGAGGUAUUACGUGUGCAUCUUUUUGCUGCAAUUCUUGGGUUAAGUCUUUAUCUGGUAAUAAAGUACUGUUUGAAUUGAUGCUGUAGCUUAAAGAAGCAUAGCCAUCCUGUUAGGAAUGGCAUUUGCUAGACAGAGGGAAAGACCCAAGUACAGAAGGAAGGUGAGAGCCAGCUUGAGUCGGGGUUGGUGAGAAGGUGAAUGUCUGGUUAUUUAUUAGCAUAGCCACAUUUGAUAUAGAAGAGAUGGCAUUUGGGGGUCAUCAGAGGGAUGACUGAAAGUCCUGGUAAGAAUAAGGCAGGGAAGGAAAUGGUCUGGUCCUGGCGGGAAAGGACAAUAAGAAACUACACUACAAAGGAUGGUUCAGGCUGCUGUGGAAUCCAUGUAAGAAGAAGAAUCCUUGGGAGUGGGUGCAUGGGUGGGAGAGCACUCUCAUAGAAGCAUGGGGAGGAGAAUGGGAUAGGGGGUUUGCUGAGGGGAAACCAGGAAAGGGGAUAACAUUUGAAAUGUAAAUAAAUAAAACGUCCAGUAAAAAAAAAUCAAUUUCAAAAUGUGAAGUCUGAAAUAAAAUCUAGGCUGCAGUGUGUUCUGUAUGUAUUCCUAAGGUGAUCGGUGUAGGGUAGGGACUAUGACUUCAGGCAGAAUGCUUGAGUUUAUUUGAUUACCACAGGUUAUAAGAGAUGACAGGAAGUUCUGUGUGUAACCAAGCAGGGACAGCAAGACUGUGUCCCAGAACAUGUAAUCUCUGUGUAAUAAAUACCACUUUGUCUCACAAAUAAGUAGUCUUUCCUUUUCAUAUUUGACUCAUAAUAUUGACUGAAACUUUGCAUAUAUCACAUAUUGAUAAAGGCCAGUGGGUGGAUUCUCAUUGGGUAGUUUUUGAAUAACUUUGUAAUCAAGGUCCCAUUUUGAAGAUCUCUUUUUAUGGCCCUCACUUUGUUCUGCCCCUUGGUCACCUAUCUUUAUUGACAGAGCUUUUUCAGUUGUGCUGGUAGGGAUAAACUUGAAGAUGACAAUUGAAGUUUAUGGUAGAAAAAUGUUUAUUUUUUCCUGGCUCUCUUUGGGUGCUGUUAGAUAUGGAAAACAGAGUCCUGGGAGAGGGUUCCCACAGCCAUCAGAAGCUAGGCUUUUGUUUGCUACUUCAAAUCCCAGGGACUCAAGUUUCUGCAUCACAGACUUUAAAUCUGCAUGCUCUCCAGAUGCCUAUGAUUAAAAUUCAAAACACAUCCAAAUAUCACAUUAGUCAAGAGAGUGUAAUAGUUUUGAAAUAUAAAAAGCAGAUAAAUCAUGUACAUAUGUGUCUUAGGGCUGUGAUAAUAGCUACACUAAUGUUUAUGUCAACUCUCAAAGAAGAACAAAUAGCUUACCUAAUGGUGUGUGAAAAAGCAUCCCCCACUGUGAACUACUGUAGGACUUGUUAAUUCCCAGCACAGGCUACCUGAGGACAAUGGGUCCUGAGCUCUUUGGGAUGAACUAACUGAUCUGUGAUUCUUUUCUAAUGGCAGAAUAACAGUUGCUUAGGAUUUCAUAUACUUUAAUGGUGGCAAAGACCUAUACUUUUAUGUUGAGAAUUCAAAGUCUCCACAAUGAGAUAUCUUGGUAUACAACCUUCAGAAACAAAAGAUCAAUCAUAAGUGUCUA